rnacentral:rRNA from 4 species
GCGGUCCGGCCGGGAACUCAAAGGAGACUGCCAGUGAUAAACUGGAGGAAGGUGGGGAUGACGUCAAGUCAUCAUGGCCCUUACGACCAGGGCUACACACGUGCUACAAUGGCGCAUACAAAGAGAAGCGACCUCGCGAGAGCAAGCGGACCUCAUAAAGUGCGUCGUAGUCCGGAUUGGAGUCUGCAACUCGACUCCAUGAAGUCGGAAUCGCUAGUAAUCGUGGAUCAGAAUGCCACGGUGAAUACGUUCCCGGGCCUUGUACACACCGCCCGUCACACCAUGGGAGUGGGUUGCAAAAGAAGUAGGUAGCUUAACCUUCGGGAGGGCGCUUACCACUUUGUGAUUCAUGACUGGGGUGAAGUCGUAACAAGGUAACCGUAGGGGAACCUGCGGUUGGAUCAC